GUAUAAUUAUAUUUCGAUUGUUAAUUAUAUGAUUUCAUCCGUAGUAUAUAUAAUUCCAUAUUAAUAUCAACUCAAACGCGUCCUACCGUAUAACCCCGUCAUGUGAAAUUAAACAUCAUUUUGUUAUUUUU
rnacentral:sRNA from 1 species